rnacentral:tRNA from 2 species
UGUCAAUAUAGUUUAAUAAAAACAUUAGGAUGUGGAUCUAAAAAUAGAGGCUAAGCCCCCCUUAUUGACCA